AAGGAGCCCUGGGAGGACCUGGGGUUGCUUUUGGUUUGGAGUGGGUGUGCAGACAACAUGGGUGUCUUGGAGAAGCUGUGGACUGAGAACCAAGUAAUUAUUUCCAGAACGAAAGAGACUUGUCCUACAGUGCCUACAAAGCUGCUGGCUCCAGUCCUUUUUAUACUGAAGGCCCUAGAGCUGCAUGCAGGACUCCAGGAGGAUAUUUACCUUUGUCCUAUGUUCCACUUUGGGUUACAAAGAGAGAAAAAGAAGCAAAUGUUCAAGCACAGAUAAUGAUCUUUGUGGUAGAACCCAGUCCUACAGAAAUACUGAGAACUUGUUACCAAAUUAAAAAUGUUUUUUCCUAUUCUUCAUGUCACUUCACUGUAGUAUCACUAGAGGAAUCUGAAAGUAGGUGACAAAUAUGAUUUUAAUAUAUAGAAUGUUAUUCCUGCAGAGAUUGUUUUGCUUAGAUAUGUUAUUUAACCAAAUGGGCAAAUAGUUCCAUUAUGGAAAUACAGUGAAUGAAUGGCUGUGGAUACUCACUAUUUUCAGUGCUUUGUCUUCAGAUUUCUAUGUGCAAUUUAACUGCAAGACCUUUCAAGCUUGACAGAACAAAAGCCAUUACUUUGAGGCACUGGCAAAGGGAACUGUGGAAUCCUAAAAUUUUGUAAACAUGCUUGGGGUUCCUUGAGCUUUAGCUACAGAAAAUGGAAUUGAGCUCCAAGGCAAAUGUGUGUGCAAGGGCACUGACUCUGCAGUUUGCACCAAACCCUAUCAGAAGAGCUUUACAACAUCAGUCAUGGCAGCAGGAUAUCAAGGUUCUCCUUUGUUAUUUAUAUAGGCAAAUGAUCAUGAGUUUUCCUUUUAUACCUUUAAAAUUAGAUACUAACAAGCAGUUGUGAUGUAAUCUUAAUUGAAUCCUAGCAAGGGUUUUCCUAAUUCAGAGUCCAUGCCCCAUGCACACACUUUGUCAGUGCAGCCAAUGUUUGAAAAAGUCACAGUCUGACUUCAAAGGAGUUAGCUUUGUGUGAAGGAACAGGAGAUGCCACAGAGCCCAUGGUUUAUUUAUGUGGCCAGAGCCAGAAGCAGCUCAGGAGAACAAGAGGUCUAAAGGCACCCUUCAGUUAAUCCCAUACGGAGCCACAUAUCUUGCAGGAUCUGAACUGGUUUCCUUAAAAGAACUGAGGCUGAAGGGCCGAAGAUCUUUUUACAAGUAGGGAUUUCUAUCCCAGCCUUGACAGAUAAAGCCUCAUAGUUAAGGGCCCGCUAGCUGCCUGUUUUAAAAGAGC